AUAAGAGUCCAAGUUUCCAUUUUGGUUUAGUCAGUUUUACCAGGCUGUCCCUGGCAACCCACACAGUUCUUGCCACUAGGCAUUCUGAUUGUCUCGACCUCUGAACACAAGAUGGAUUUCUUCCUUUGGGGACUUCUCUGGGUCACUGUUCUGUGUCCAGUGGAUUAUUAUGUGUCAAGUCAGGCCUGCGCUGGGAAGGAGCCAGUCAUUGAUCCCCCCAGUCUGGUGGUGAAGUACGGAGGUCUGGCCACAGCAAACUGUAGCGCUCAAUCCGAAGCACUAAUAAUAGGCUGGGAGACAACAGUGGGCGCUAUAACGGAAUACGACACACAGCAGCUGGUGUGGAGUGUGCCCAGCGUCACUGAAUGGGCACUGGGGCGUGGCAUAAAGUGCUUCACCACUUCUGAUGAGGACGGGCAAUGCGAGACCGAUCUACCCAUCACCAUCUACAAAAUUCCAGAGAAUAUGAUCCUUAGCUUAUUAGACCACACUGGUGCACUACUUGAAGGACAGCAGUACUGGCUGGAGUGUGUUGUUCAGAGCGUUGCUCCUGCUAACCACCUCAUUGUCAUCUGGUCCAGAGGGGACACUGAGCUGAAACGCUCAGGCUUCCCUCAGUUCUCUAUUGAGGGCGAUCAAUCUAAGGACGUCACUGUGAGAACUAAGCUGAGUCUUACAGCUUCCAGAGAGGACCAUGAAGCCUCCUACCACUGUGAAGCCAAACUGGAUCUGAACACAGCUGAGCCCAUUCCUGAGACCAGAUCUAGUAUCCAGCUGGAAGCUGUAUUUUACAAACCCAGGGUGCUUCAAACUAGUGGGAAUGUGACCAUCUUCGCUGGCAACAAACUGGAGUUGAUGUGCGUGGCUGAUGCCAACCCCAGGCCCUCAUAUCAAUGGAGACACAAGGGUGUGGUGUUACCGAAUAAGAACAACAACACACUCCUGAUUGACUCUGCCACUGCAGACAACGCGGGUGUUUAUGAGUGCGUCAUCAGCAACACUCAAGGACAGGCCUCUGCUGUGAUGAGCAUCGAGGUGAAGGGUCAGGACUGCGCUGGGAAGGAGCCAGUCAUUUAUCCCCCCAGUCUGGUGGUGAAGUACGGAGAACCGGCCACAGCAAAAUGUAGCGCUCAAUCCAACGCCACAAUAAUAGGCUGGGAGGCAACAGUGGGAGCUAAAACGGAAAACGACAUACAGCAGCUGGUGUGGAGUGUGCCCAGCGUCACUGAAUGGGCACUGGGGCGUGGCAUAGAGUGCUUCACCAGUUCUGAGAAGCACGGGCAAUGCCUGACCCAUCUACCCAUCACCAUAUACAAAACUCCAGAGAAUGUGAUCCUUAGGGUAUUAAACGACACUGGUCCACUACUUGAGGGACAGGAGUACUGGUUGCAGUGUGUUGUUGAGAGCGUUGCUCCAGCUAACAACCUCAUUGUCAUCUGGUCCAGAGGGGACACUGAGCUGAAACGCUCAGGCUUCCCUCAGUUCUUUAUUGAGGGCGACGAAUCUAAAAACGUCACUGUGGCAACUCAUCUGAGUCUUACAGCUUCCAGAGAGGACCAUGGAGCCUCCUACCGCUGUGCAGCCAAACUGGAUCUGAACACAGCUGAGUUCAUCCCUGAGACCAGAUCUAGUAUCCAGCUGGAAGUUUAUUACAAACCCAGGGUGAUUAAAACCAGUGGGAAUGUGACCAUCGACGCUGGCAACAAACUGGAGUUGAUGUGCGAGGCUGAUGCCAACCCCAGGCCCUCAUAUCAAUGGAGACACAAGGGUGUGGUGUUACCGAAUAAGGACAAGAACACACUCCUGAUUGACUCUGCCACUGCAGACAACGCGGGUGUUUAUGAGUGCGUCAUCAGCAACACUCAAGGACAGGCCUCUGCUGUGAUGAGCAUCGAGGUGAAGGGUCAGGACUGCGCUGGGAAGGAGCCAGUCAUUGAUCCCCCCAGUCUGGUGGUGAGGUACGGAGGUCCAGCCACAGCAAAAUGUAGCGCUCAAUCCGAAGCACUAAUAAUUCGCUGGGAGACAACAGUGGGAGAUAUAACGGAAAACGACUUACAGCAGCUGGUGUGGAGUGUGCCCAGCGUCACUGAAUGGGCACUGGGGCGUGGCAUAUGGUGCUUCACCAUUUCUGAUGAGCAUGGGCAAUGCGACACCCAUCUGCCCAUCACCAUCUACAAAAUGCCAGAUAGUGUGAUCCUUAGCUUAUUAAACCACACUGGUCCACUACUUGAAGGACAGGAGUACUGGCUGGAGUGUGUUGUUCAGAGUGUUGCUCCAGCUAAGAACCUCACUGUCAUCUGGUCCAGAGGGGACACUGAGCUGCAACGCUCAGGCUUCCCUCAGUUCUCUAUUGAGGGCGAUCUAUCUAAGGACGUCACUGUGAGAACUAAGCUGAGUCUUACAGCUUCCAGAGAGGACCAUGAAGCCUCCUACAGCUGUGCAGCCAAACUGGAUCUGAACACAGCUGAGCCCAUUCCUGAGAUCAGAUAUAUUUACCAGCUUGAAGCUGUAUUUUACAAACCCAGGGUGCUUCAAACCAGGGGGAAUGUGACCAUCUUCGCUGGCAACAAACUGAAGUUGAUGUGCGAGGCUGAUGCCAACCCCAGGCCCUCAUAUCAAUGGAGACACAAGGGUGUGGUGUUACCGAAUAAGGACAAGAACACACUCCUGAUUGACUCUGCCACUGCAGACAACGCGGGUGUUUAUGAGUGCGUCAUCAGCAACACUCAAGGACAGGCCUCUGCUGUGAUGAGCAUCGAGGUGAAGGGUCCGGACUGCGCUGGGAAGGAGCCAGUCAUCGAUCCCCCCAGUCUGGUGGUGAAGUACGGAGAACCGGCCACAGCAAAAUGUAGCGCUCAAUCCAACGCCACAAUAAUAGGCUGGGAGACAACAGUGGGAGCUGAAACGGAAUAUAACAUACAGCAGCUGGUGUGGAGUGUGCCCAGCGUCACUGAAUGGGCACUGGCGCGUGGCAUAAAGUGCUUCACCACUUCUGAUGAGGACGGGCAAUGCGAGACCGAUCUACCCAUCACCAUCUACAAAAUUCCAGAGAAUGUGAUCCUUAGCUUAUUAGACCACACUGGUCCACUACUUGAGGGACAGGAGUACUGGCUGGAGUGUGUUGUUCAGAGCGUUGCUCCAGCUAAGAACCUCACUGUCAUCUGGUUCAGAGGGGACACUGAGCUGAAACGCUCAGGCUUCCCUCAGUUCUCUAUAGAGGGCGAUCUAUCGAAGGACGUCACUGUGAGAACUAAGCUGAGUCUUACCGCUUCCAGAGAGGACCAUGGAGCCUCCUACCGCUGUGCAGCCAAACUGGAUCUGAACACAGCUGAGCCCGUCCCUGAGACCAGCUCUAGUAUCCAGCUGGAAGUACAUUACAAACCAAGAAUGGGGAGUCCCAGUCACAAUGUGACCAUGACCGUGACGGAGGGUGACAAGUUGGACUUUAACUGCUCAGCUGAGGCCAACCCCAGCCCUACAUACCAGUGGAUGUUCAACAACGUCAUUCUAGAGAACGAGAACAACCCUACUCUCAUUAUUGAGUCCAUCCAGCCUGACAAAGGGGGCGUCUACCGGUGCACCGCCCGUAACAUCAGAGGAGAAGGCUUUGUAGAGAUGAGAGUGGAUGUCGUGUCAAAUUACCUGCUGUGGAUCGCCAUCUUUGUGGCGAUAGCCAUAGGUGUUCUGCUAGCGGUCAGCUAUUGUGUCUACCGCACCCACCAUAAGAAACACAAGACUGGCCAGUACCUCCUGACCAAGAUUAAACAUGGGGCCAGCAACAGUGGACAGGUGGCUCAGGCCAAUGGGCAUUCAGUGUAAGGGGGGGGCAAGGGGGCGGGGUUUGUGGAUGACGGCCAAUGGGAGGUGUGCCGGAGGGAAAUGGCGGAUGCGGCAACUGAACCGACAGAACAGAAGAGGAGAAGUAACUUGUGAUAAGUUGGUCCCAGCGUCCACUAUGAAGUGGCAAAGUAAGUGAGAGACUUUUGACCUCCUGGAAUAUUUAUUUGCAUCCAAAACUGAUCUUCUCUCUCGCUUGCUCGCUGUCUGAAGACAAGGGACAUGACUAUGAGUCAGCACUACACACUAACCACUCAAUCAAGCAGUAUUAAUGCCUGGACGUCACAAACAUCAAAUCAAUCUGCUAAACCAACCACAUGUGCCUGGGUGUACUAUGAGACAAAGAAGAGAGAGGAUGAAGUUAACAGGAACUUAACAGGAGAAAAACAGCCAUGUCACUUCCUCCACAUGUGACAGGCCUUAGGAACCUGUGUAAUGGAAAAACAAAAACAAGAAGUUGGACAGUGACUAUGUGGGUUUUUUUUAUGGAAAAUGUUAUUCAUUUCAGGUGUCCCAUGUUCUGUUUUAUGUGUGAAUAACUUAAAAGAAAAAAAAUAUGAAUAAUGCUUUAGACCAGUUUCAGCGUCCCUGACAACCAUCGUCAAGCACGUACUCAAAGAACAAGCAAACCGAGAGCCAUAGUAAACAAUUAGGAUCAAAGAAGCUUUUUGCUAGAACAUGCUAGAACAUGCUAGAACAUGGUCAAUUUGAGUGUGGUUUAUGGUUGUUCAAACCAUUCCAACCAGGAUAAAUGAAGCUAUUACUGUUUGCCUUCUGUGAUGUGUAAAAAUGAAAUUAUUGAAAAUGGGAAUGAUUAACCCGGGACAAAUUAUAAAAAAUCUUCAAUAAAGGAGAUUAAUCUGACCAGUUAAUAUAAAACUACAUAUAUAUAAAGACUAUGACUAAUAUAUUAUAUAUAUCGCCCAAACAAGUCACAUAUAUUGUGUCACACAAUGGUUACCUCCACGGUGAGAUCUCCAAAAUCUGUACAGAGAACUUCUCAAACCCGUCCGUUAGCAAGUUUUCAUAGCUUUUUAUGCUUUUGUAGUUCAUCAGGCUCUCUUGUGUGUAGCUGCUUUAGUUGAAAGUAUAUAAAGUAAAUAAAUACAUCCCAACAUGGAUGUAUGUCAUGCUAGGCCACAGGUCCACAUCGUCUUUGAAUUCUUCCUUUGGACAUAUAAGGACCUCGUCCCGAAAUGAAUCCAAAUUUUUCUAAGUACUGACCUUUCACUCCUUUGCUUGUCAAACUCUAAAAAUAUCUACGCAAUAGGCUCUUAUCUUUCAAAUUUGAUCAAGGUUUAGCAAGCUCGCUUUCUAUGUGCCAAAGUGUAAACAAACCAGUGCUUGUCCUCUGAGUUCUUCUUGACGUCGUCUUGUUCGUCUUCAGAAUAUAUUUUCCUAAAAAAACAGUAUCUGUGUAUUUGUGUAACAACAAUGAUAGUUCGUGUAUGUGGAUAUGUGUGUAUGGGCGUGCCGUCAAUUCUUAAAGAUAAUAAGCUAAUUAUUUUGUACAGUUGUUAAUAUGCUUUCAGAAAAUGUACAUCCUGAAUUGUUUCAGAACUGUACGCCUCUGAAUGGCAGAGAGUGUGAGUGAGUGUGUGUUUGGGGGGGGGGAACGCCCAAGUAUUUCCCGGAAGAAUUUGUUUUGAAUAACUUUUGGCUUUCAGGCUGACUCCAAUAACGAGUUCACAGAAACAGAUUCCAGUUCUUCUUUUAAUGCAAUUUUACUCACCAAGCUAAUGUGGCAUUAGCUUGGUGAUUUUACCAAAUCAGGUAAAUAAAUCAAGACAAUGAAAAGAGAAAAGUGGUAUUGGUGUUUACAUCUGUUCAUCGUUUUGUUUGGAUUUUCAUCUUUUUUUCUGUGCAAAUGUAUGUCGAUAUUUAGACAGGUAGUUUGAGAGGAGGUUGUGCGUAUGUGUGUUACUGUGGUCUCGUAAAAGGAGAUGUGUGCCGGGUGAUCUUAACGGGUGAACUUAAAGGGUUAAUUACAGACUGCUGCUGACUGGUGAAGUUGAUCUUAACGGGUGAACUUAAAGGAAUAAUUACUGACUGCUGCUGACUGGUGAAGUUGAUCUUAAUGGGUGAACUUAAAGGAAUAAUUACUGACUGCUGCUGACUGGUGAAGUUGAUCUUAAUGGGUGAACUUAAAGGAAUAAUUACUGACUGCUGCUGACUGGUGUAGUUGAUCUUAACAGGUGAACUUAAAGGGUUGAUUACUGACUGCUGCUGCCUGGUGAAGUUGAUCUUAACGGGUGAACUUAAAGGGUUAACUAUUGACUGCUGCUGCUGGGGGAUACUUAACAUUUUCUGGCAAGGGAAGGAAAUUUUAAGAACGUGCGGACGUUGAGUUCAGGGCUCAGUGGAAAGAAGAACAUG